UCGGGUUCUGGGGGUCUUGGUCCUUUUUUCCUUUUUGUUUUUCUUUUCCCCUCUUCCUGGUGUUAGUCUGUAGCAUCACUGUGGCCCACUAGAUGGAGCCAGAGGCUGUCCACCUCGGAGGCGCGCCCAUGGGUUUUAUGCACCUGGCAGUCAUCAUCUCAUCAUUCUCUGGAGGUUAAAAGAAGCUGACUGCCAGCACUUCGACGCCGGAGUGUUUUACCUGCUUGGAAUCGUCUACUCCUCGAGACGAUUUGGAUUCUCCAGAGUGACUUCCAUCCUGGCUUUUUGGUUAAAGCCCUCCUCGUGACGCCGUGGACGGUACCCACUGGUUGCCCGAGUCCCGUUUUUACCUCCCGUAAGAUCUCAAGAUUCUCAGUUGUCAUCGGCUGGCAGUCGGACCUCACCUCCACCUCCGUCAAGUCAUCGCUUACCCGCCCGCCCUCCACCGCAGCCUCCUUGCCGAGGAACCCGCUCGUUUAUGGAAGCUGGAUCCGUUGACUUCAGCCUGGAACCCACAGACUACCUCCCUGAUUGUGAUCAAUCUUUCCCAAUUUUCCGCUGUCCUCCAGACUCCACCCCAGGAUCCCCACCACAUCACAUUACUUUGCUUCAAAUAAAAAUCUUUAACUGA